AUAAAAGUCGUAACAAGGUUCGUAGGUGAACUGCGGAAGGAUCAUUAAAAAUUGGGUACUGUAAUUUAGGUUAACCAUUAAUAUAUCUACUUUGUGAUUUGUUUGUUAUGUAAAUUUUUGUCUAUCCUAAAGAAGUGGAUAAGUGUAAUAGCUAAAAAACUUUUUUUAGGAAUGGCUUAAAGACUUUUAUUUAAAAUUAAACUUUUGUAUUCAUUUGUCUAAAAUUAAAUUUUUAAAUAAUAAUUUAAAAACAACUUUGACAAUGAUCUCUUGUUCUCGCAACGAUGAAGAACGCAGCAAAUGCGAUAAGUAAUGUGAUUGCAGAAUACGUGAUCAUCAAUCUUCGAACGCAUAUUGCACUUUUUAGUUUACUAAAAAAGUAGUCUGUUUGAGUAUCAGUAAAUAUUCUCAUAAAUCAUUUGAUUUAUGGUUAUGAGUGUUUACAACGAUAAACAGUUGUUUCACUUUAAAUGGAUUUAAUGAAAUCGUCGGUUGGGACGAUUUUAAUUUUUUUAAAAAUUGAUAAAAUUUUCCGUAAAAAGAAUAAAGCUAUUUAGUUUUUAGAAAUUUAAUAGUUCCAUACCGGUACAGUUAAAGGAAAUUAUUUAUAAAUAACUGAUCUCAAAUCAGAUAAGAGUACGCUGAACUUAAGCAUAUAAAGCGGAGAAAAGAACUAACAGGAUCCUUAGUAACGGCGAGGAAGCGGGAAGAGCUCAAAUUUGAAAUCUUCAAGUUCUACCUUGACGAAUUGUAGUUUAAGAAGUGUUUCUGUUAGAGGAGUGGCAAAGUUCUUUGGAUAUGACAUCAUAGAGGUGAGAAUCCGUAUUUGGCAUUCUUCUAGCUGUGUGAUACACUUCAAAGAGUCGGAUUGUUUGGAAUGCAGUCCAAAAUGGGUGUAAAUUUCAUCUAAAGCUAAUAUUGGCGAGAGACGAUAGCGAACAAGUACCGUGAGGGAAAGAUGAAAAAAUUUGAAAGAGAGUUAAACAGUACGUGAAAUUGUCAAAGGGAUGCGUUUGACACCAGUGUUGUUUUUCCGAAAAUCAAUUGUGCUGGCUGAUUUUGUAGGAGUUUGACUUAUCGCUUUUCUGCUUUUUCGGUCUGGUGCAAUGCACUUUUCGGUAACAAGUCAACAUCAAUUUCUUUGUUGUAAAGGGUAAUUGGAAGGUGUUUCUUUUCGGAGAAAGUGUUAUAGCCUUUACCUCUACAAUGGAGAGAUUGAGGUCGCAGCGUAGAUCUCGGGUAGAUACAUUUGUGCUAAGUUAUAGCCUGUAUAGACACUUGUUGAUAUACUC
rnacentral:misc_RNA from 1 species